GAAGGACCUCCCCAGCGUAUAUAAACCAUGGCCGGACGUUUGUCCAGUCUCUCGUUCCCAGCUCUCUACGCAGCUGGAAGCCAAUGCGGCGUCGGGAUUACUCACGAUUUACUAUACCUCGAGGAGAAGGUCAAAUAAUGAGGCUCCUCGUCGAGUUAACUACUGCAAAGACCAAGUUCGAAGAUGGGUGAAUAAAGAUCACCGACUGAAUGUUGCAGCUGCCUCAUCGGGCUCCUCAGAGCACUGAUGGAACAUGGUUUCCAUCCUUUGGAUACUACAGUAGUCCUACUGUGUGAUGACCAGCUGGACUAUGGAGACUGCUCUCUGGGUCUUCACACUGACGAGUUGGCGUGACCGUUUCACAGCUGUACAACUUCCUGGAAGGGAUGGAUUCAGUUUUCAUGGUGAGGUAUGACUUGCAGCCCAAGCUGGAUGGGUAACCCUACUCCUAGGUCCGGAAUAACCUGGAUACCCCUUUGUUCAAACCUACAGAUUUUUCAGCAGACUCACAGGCUAAAGAUUAAAGUUUUCUUUAAAGAAACUGAUACACGUGCUUUUCUUGACAAAACAAUUAAGCCAUCUAGAGAAGUUUCAUUCCUAUAGUUUUGUACAAGGCUUUACUCAACUGAGGCCUUUAGAGAAAUUUCAAAUAAAUGGUUGACAACA